rnacentral:lncRNA from 1 species
GGAUGAAGCAAAGAAGUGCAGGCCGACAGGAGCCGGAUGUAGAUCGCUCCUGAGAGACACAGCCAGAAUACACAAAUACAGAGGCGAAUACCAGCAGCAAACCACUGAACUGAGAAUAGGACCUCCGUUGAAGGAAUCAGAGAAAGAACUGGAAGAGCUUGAAGGGGUUCAAGACCCCAUAUCUACAACAAUGCCAAGCACAGAGCUUCCAGGGACUAAGCCACUACCUAAAGACUAUACAUGGACUGACCCUGGACUCUGACCUCAUAGGUAGCAAUGAAUAUCCUAGUAAGAGCACCAGUGGAACGGGAAGCCCUGGGUCCUGCUAAGUUUGAACCCCCAGUGAACUAGAUUGUUGGGGGGAGGGCAGCAAUGGGGGGAGGAUUGGGAGGGGAACACCCAUAAAGAAGGGGAGGGGGAGGGAUUAGGGGGAUGUUUGCCUGGAAACCGGGAAAGGGAAUAUACUCGAAAUGUAUAUAAGAAAUACUCAAGUUAAUAAAAAAAAAAAA